rnacentral:rRNA from 1 species
CGCGUAGGCGGUGGGUUACGUCUGCCGUGAAAUCCCCGGGCUCAACCUGGGAAUGGCGGUGGAAACGGGCUGACUAGGGUAUGGGAGAGGGUGAUGGAAUUCCAGGUGUAGCGGUGAAAUGCGUAGAGAUCUGGAGGAACAUCAGUGGCGAAGGCGGUCACCUGGCCCAAUACUGACGCUGAGGCGCGAAAGCGUGGGGAGCAAACA